AGUGAACGCUGGCGGUAGGCCUAACACAUGCAAGUCGAACGGCAGCACAGUAAGAGCUUGCUCUUACGGGUGGCGAGUGGCGGACGGGUGAGGAAUACAUCGGAAUCUACUUUUUCGUGGGGGAUAACGUAGGGAAACUUACGCUAAUACCGCAUACGACCUACGGGUGAAAGCAGGGGAUCUUCGGACCUUGCGCGAUUGAAUGAGCCGAUGUCGGAUUAGCUAGUUGGCGGGGUAAAGGCCCACCAAGGCGACGAUCCGUAGCUGGUCUGAGAGGAUGAUCAGCAAAACUGGAACUGAGAAACGGUCAAGACUCCUACGGGAGGCAGCAGUGGGGAAUAUUGGACAAUGGGCGCAAGCCUGAUCCAGCCAUACCGCGUGGGUGAAGAAGGCCUUCGGGUUGUAAAGCCCUUUUGUUGGGAAAGAAAAGCAGCAGGUUAAUACCCCGCUGUUCUGACGGUACCAAAAGAAUAAGCACCGGCUAACUUCGU
rnacentral:rRNA from 1 species